CUUUUACAAUGAAGAGUUUGAUCCUGGCUCAGGAUGAACGCUAGCUACAGGCUUAACACAUGCAAGUCGAGGGGCAGCAUUUUAGUUUGCUUGCAAACUAAAGAUGGCGACCGGCGCACGGGUGAGUAACACGUAUCCAACCUGCCGAUAACUCGGGGAUAGCCUUUCGAAAGAAAGAUUAAUAUCCGAUAGUAUAUUAAAACCGCAUGGUUUUACUAUUAAAGAAUUUCGGUUAUCGAUGGGGAUGCGUUCCAUUAGUUUGUUGGCGGGGUAACGGCCCACCAAGACAACGAUGGAUAGGGGUUCUGAGAGGAAGGUCCCCCACAUUGGAACUGAGACACGGUCCAAACUCCUACGGGAGGCAGCAGUGAGGAAUAUUGGUCAAUGGACGAGAGUCUGAACCAGCCAAGUAGCGUGAAGGAUGACUGCCCUAUGGGUUGUAAACUUCUUUUAUAUGGGAAUAAAGUUUUCCACGUGUGGAAUUUUGUAUGUACCAUAUGAAUAAGGAUCGGCUAACUCCGUGCCAGCAGCCGCGGUAAUACGGAGGAUCCGAGCGUUAUCCGGAUUUAUUGGGUUUAAAGGGAGCGUAGGUGGAUUGUUAAGUCAGUUGUGAAAGUUUGCGGCUCAACCGUAAAAUUGCAGUUGAAACUGGCAGUCUUGAGUACAGUAGAGGUGGGCGGAAUUCGUGGUGUAGCGGUGAAAUGCUUAGAUAUCACGAAGAACUCCGAUUGCGAAGGCAGCUCACUAGACUGCAACUGACACUGAUGCUCGAAAGUGUGGGUAUCAAACAGGAUUAGAUACCCUGGUAGUCCACACAGUAAACGAUGAAUACUCGCUGUUUGCGAUAUACAGUAAGCGGCCAAGCGAAAGCAUUAAGUAUUCCACCUGGGGAGUACGCCGGCAACGGUGAAACUCAAAGGAAUUGACGGGGGCCCGCACAAGCGGAGGAACAUGUGGUUUAAUUCGAUGAUACGCGAGGAACCUUACCCGGGCUUAAAUUGCAUUUGAAUAAUCUGGAAACAGGUUAGCCGCAAGGCAAAUGUGAAGGUGCUGCAUGGUUGUCGUCAGCUCGUGCCGUGAGGUGUCGGCUUAAGUGCCAUAACGAGCGCAACCCUUAUCUUUAGUUACUAACAGGUCAUGCUGAGGACUCUAGAGAGACUGCCGUCGUAAGAUGUGAGGAAGGUGGGGAUGACGUCAAAUCAGCACGGCCCUUACGUCCGGGGCUACACACGUGUUACAAUGGGGGGUACAGAAGGCAGCUACCUGGCGACAGGAUGCUAAUCCCAAAAACCUCUCUCAGUUCGGAUCGAAGUCUGCAACCCGACUUCGUGAAGCUGGAUUCGCUAGUAAUCGCGCAUCAGCCAUGGCGCGGUGAAUACGUUCCCGGGCCUUGUACACACCGCCCGUCAAGCCAUGAAAGCCGGGGGUACCUGAAGUACGUAACCGCAAGGAGCGUCCUAGGGUAAAACUGGUAAUUGGGGCUAAGUCGUAACAAGGUAGCCGUACCGGAAGGUGCGGCUGGAACACCUCCUUUCU
rnacentral:rRNA from 1 species